GGUAUUGCUGGCAUCAAAGGAGAUAAGGUCAGUCAUUUACACCAUAUUAUCUGAAAUACCUGUUGGAAAUCAAGACUUAAUAUUCGCAUUUGCUACUGAAAAUGAAUAUUUGAUGUCAUCAUUCACAGAAAACAGGUUUAUUUUCCAGAAUACAACAAAUAUUUGUGCAUGGUCUGUACUCAUUCUGAGAAACAAAAUUAUAUAUAUUUUUUUCAAUUCCUUUAACUACAGUUGUUGCUUGUUCAGAAUUUGUCUUUCAAGCAUGCAAAGAAUUAAGUCCCUCCUCAAAUAGCUUAUGGAAUUCAUAUAGAAACCUACAGCUGCACUAGGGAGUAGUUAAAGAUGAAAAAAAGUACAGAAAAAUUGAAAAAAAAAAAAAAUAAAUGUUCAGGACUGUGCAUAAGAAAACAAAGUAGAUCUAAAAUGAUGACUACUCCUAAUACAGAGAACUUGGAUGCCUGAAAAAGUUAUAUUCUGUUUAAUUAAAUCAUUUUUUAAGAUAUAAAUGUCCACUACAGAUAGUUCUCAUCGUCUUGCAGUUCUGAUAUUGCUUAUUUCCCCACAUACUCUGUUAGAAGAUUUGAACCCUAAGAUCCAUGAAAAAAUUUUGCAAGCAUAUUUUUCUGUCUGAUUUCUAUCGGAUUGUCCAGGGGUGCCCUGCAGAUGGAUAUGACCAAGGAUAUGGUGCAAAAGGUGAUCCUGGAUUGCCAGGAAUGCCUGGGCUUCAGGGUGCUCAGGGUGUUCAAGGAUAUCCUGGGGAAACUGGACCACGGGGCCUUCCAGGAACUUCCGGAGUACCAGGGAGACCAGGACCUCCUGGACCUAAGGUAGUCUCAGAUUGGUAA
rnacentral:lncRNA from 1 species